UACGUAGGGUGCAAGCGUUGUCCGGAAUUAUUGGGCGUAAAGAGCUCGUAGGCGGUCUGUCGCGUCUGCUGUGAAAACUCGGGGCUUAACCCCGGGCCUGCAGUGGGUACGGGCAGACUAGAGUGCGGUAGGGGAGACUGGAAUUCCUGGUGUAGCGGUGGAAUGCGCAGAUAUCAGGAGGAACACCGGUGGCGAAGGCGGGUCUCUGGGAAGUAACUGACGCUGAGAAGCGAAAGCAUGGGUAGCAAACAGG
rnacentral:rRNA from 1 species